AUGCAAAAAAUAGUCGAAACAUUAGAAGACUUGUUUUUCACCGUGCAAUAUUUCUGUAGAGGUAUAGUUGAUCAAUCCCACUACAUAAUUUUCCUUCUUGAGUCUGAAUCACCAGAUGGCCAUCAAAUAGCUGUUGAAAUGAUAUCAGGAGAUGAGCACUCUCACAUUGCUAAUCUUCCCACUUCUAUGAAACGGGAUGACUACAUGCUAUGCAAUUUUACGGUCGGUAAUGGAUUCUCUGAUCUUAGAGAGGCCGCAGUAUAUAAAUGGCGAUCCUCCCUUCCACGCCGCCCCCUCCCACCUAGGGUUCCACCAGAGAGGAAAGGGGAUCGGGGGUCAGUUAUGCGCCGCCGCCUCCUGCCGUGCGCCCAUCUCCCCCCUCUCGCCGUCGGAUGCCUCGAAUGA
rnacentral:rRNA from 1 species